UACGUAGGUGGCAAGCGUUGUCCGGAAUUACUGGGCGUAAAGCGUGCGCAGGCGGUUCGUUGUGUCGGCGGUGAAAGCCCCGGGCUCAACCUGGGAAUGGCCGUUGAAACUGGCGAACUGGAGUGUGGCAGAGGGGGGUGGAAUUCCGCGUGUAGCAGUGAAAUGCGUAGAGAUGCGGAGGAACACCGAUGGCGAAGGCAGCCCCCUGGGCUAACACUGACGCUCAGGCACGAAAGCGUGGGGAGCAAACAGG
rnacentral:rRNA from 1 species